rfam:Homo sapiens chromosome 17, GRCh38 reference primary assembly.
GCCGGGCGUGGUGGCUCACGCCUGUAAUCCCAACACUGGCAGGCAGAGACGGGCGGAUCACCUGAGGUCAGGAGUUUGAGACCAGCCUGGCCAACAUGGUGAAAACCCGUCUCUA